rnacentral:rRNA from 1 species
GCUUACGGCCAUACCAAGGG